UAACGAUGAAGGUCCUUUUGGGAAGUAACGACUUGAGGGAGAGAGUGACGUUACUCAUUGAUACAGAGACACAACGAGGUUGAGCUGAUGUGAUGAUGGUGCUGCAAUGAGCGGAGUCUCCAGGGUUGUUAAUAAAUAGUUAACCUGUCUAGAAUAUGUCUUCAUACAUAUGUCUAGCUACUUUCCGCUGCAAGAUGUUGUUGAUGUUAUAGUAUGUUAUGUCAUACUUUGAGUCUUAAGAGAAUGGUUGCAUAUGAUGUAUAACUUGAUUAAUGAUAUUAAUUAACUUUUAUGCAGUCUUUCAUAGACUGUUUUCAAUUGAGUAUUAAUGAAUAAAAAUGACGAGUUUUAUUAA